CCUACGGGCGGCAGCAGUGAGGAAUAUUGGUCAAUGGACGCAAGUCUGAACCAGCCAUGCCGCGUGCAGGAAGAAGGCUCUAUGAGUUGUAAACAGCUUUUGUACGGGGGUAAAUCCCGAUACGUGUAUCGUGUUGAAAUUAUCGUGCGAAUAAGGAUCGGCUAACUCCGUGCCAGCAGCCGCGGUAAUACGGAGGAUUCAAGCGUUAUACGGAUUUAUUGGGUUUAACGAGUUCGUAGGCGGUAUGUUAAGUUUGGUGUGAAAUGCAGAGGCUCAACUUCUGAUCGGCAUUGGAUACUGGCCAGCUAGAAUGCGGUAGAGGGAAAGGGAAUUCCUGGUGUAGCGGUGAAAUGCUUAGAUAGCAGGAGGAACAUCGGUGGCGUAAGCGCUUUACUGGGCCGUAAGUGACGCUGAGGAACGAAAGCCAGGGUAGCAAAUGGGAUUAGAUACCCUAGUAGUC
rnacentral:rRNA from 1 species